CUUUACAUUUUCAAUAUACCAACUGAUGCUCUGAAAAAAGGAAUAAACAAAAAUCGUCAUGUUAUGUGACUUGGGACGAUAGAAUUUCAUGAGAGUGGUUGACAUUUUCAUGUUUUAAGCUUCUAUUUUGACCAAAAAACUUAAUAUGGAGGAUUGAAAUUGACUAACAAGAUGUAAAAGAAGCAAAUAAACAAAAGCUAUAACCCAA
rnacentral:lncRNA from 1 species